CCAUGGCAACGAUCUAAACCAACCGCGACCAGAACCUAUUACCCUUCAGAUAGAUCCAGUCCAUGUAGACUAGCUGAGGGUUAAUGUGUGCGUGUGUGUGUGUGUGUGUUUGUGUGUGUGUCUGAGUGUGUGUGUGUGUGAUUAUGUGUUUAUGUGAGUGUGGUAGUGUGUGUCUGUGUUUGCUUCUGUGUUUUUGUGUGUGUGUGUGUGUAUGUCUGUGUGUGUGUGAGUGUGUGUGGGAACAGGAGUCUUUGGCAUGAAGGGGGCCGCUACAGUCACGCUUCCUCUAGCCUCGAAUACAUUUAUAUAUACACACAAACACACAUACACACACGUAUACACGCAUACACAUACA